CCAAAAUGAAGGAUGUACAAACAUCCACACCAGAACAAGUCUUAGAAAUGGCAUCAGAUGGAGAGCAAAAGAGCCUUGAAGAAUAUGAAAAUAACCAGCCACGGGUGAAAAACCAAAUACAUUCUAGGGAUGACCUUGAUGACAUAAUUCAGUCAUCUCAAAUAGCCUCAGAGGAUGAUGACUCGCUUUGCUCUAAUUGUAAGAAAGUCAUAUUACUCAUUGAUCAACAUGAAAUGAAGUGUAAAGAUUUGCCAUACAGCAAGAAAAAAAAGGAAAGAAGAAAUGUUGAAGAGUUGUACCAAAAAGUUAGGGAAAAGUUAAGAAUAACAGAAGAUCAAUAUAGGAUAGAAGCUGAUGUGACAAAACAAAUUAAACUGGCUCUCAAAUCAGCGGAGGUGGAAUUGAAGACAGGAGGAAAUAUUUCUGAAACUGAUGAAAAAGAAGAAGACCUGCUGCAUGAAAACCGCUUGAUGCAAGAUGAAAUUGCCAGGCUCAGGCUGGAAAUAGACACAAUAAAAAACCAAAACCUGGAAAAGAAAUACUUAAAAGACUUUGAAGUUAUGAAAAGAAAACAUGAAGACCUUCAAAAGGCUCUAAAACGGAACGGGGAAACAUUAGCAAAAACGAUAGCCUGUUAUAGUGGACAGCUUGCUGUUCUGACGGAUGAAAACACAACGCUCCGUUCCAAGCUGGAGAAGGAAAGACAGAGCAGGCAAAGACUGGAAACAGAAAUGCAAUCAUACUGUUGUAGACUGAAUGCUGCUAUGUGAUCAUGAUCAAAGUCACUCAUCAGAAAGAGACCAAGAGCUUGCUUUCCAGGACACAGUAGAUAAAUGGUGUCAUUUACAGGAAAAUUUGAAUUCUUGUGUUCUGAUUCUUUCUCAGCAACUUUCUAAAGCUGAGAGUAAGUCCAGAGUCCUCGAAACUGAGCUCCAUUACACAAGAGAGGCUCUGAAAGAAAAGGCUUUGGUUUUUGAACACGUGCAAAGUGAGCUAAAGCAAAAACAGAGUCAAAUGAAGGACAUUGAAAAAAUGUACCAAAGUGAAUACAAUACAAUGGAAAAAUGCAUAGAAAAGCAGGAAAGAUUUUGUCAACUAAAAAAACAAAAUAUGUUGCUUCAACAGCAACUGGAUGAUGCUCGCAACCAAGCUGACAAUCAAGAAAAAGCAAUACUUAAUAUUCAAGCCAGAUGUGAUGCUAGAGUACAAAACCUUCAAGCUGAGUGCAGAAAGCGAUGUGUUUUACUAGAAGAAGACAAUAAAAGGUUGGUCAAUGAAUUGAAUCAUUUGAAAGAAAAAGAACGCCAAUAUGAAAAAGAGAAAGCAGAAAGAGAAGUAGCUGUGAGACAGCUUCAACAAAAACGAGAUGAUGUCUUAAACAAAUAAUCAGCAACAAAAGCUUUGCUGGAUGCUUCAUCGCGUCACUGCAUCUAUUUAGAAAAUGAGAUGCAGGAUUCAAGGAAGAAAUUAGACCAGAUGAGAAGUCAAGUAUGUAUGAAAAUUUGCACACCAACAACUGUUAAUCUGUAGCUAGUUAACCAAUAUAAAGUGUUUUGGGGUACUAAUUUUAGUGGAUGGCUUUCUCUUGUAUUUUUAUUAUAAUUAAUUUUAUUAAAAUUUUAUAGUGGAUGGCUUUCUUUUGUAUUUUCCUUAUUAUUAAUUUAUUAAAAUUUUAUUAUAACACACCUAUAUCUUAAUCUCUGGCUUUCACUCUGCCAUUUUUUAUAAAUGUAUUUUUUUCUUAAAUAUUUAACCUUAGGAAAGUUGAGAAUUAUGCAUCAUUUCUCACAGAAGUUGAGAGAGUUUUUUUUCCUGUUAAACAGUCUAUUUUUAAUGAUUUCUCUAUUGGCAUGGUGAGGCAAGCCAGAUUAAUUCAGAGGAUAAUGUCUAAUGGAAUGUUUCAGAAAAUUAUCUUAUUUUUAGUCUCUACUUUUCUGAGUGUAUAAAGAACCUGUGUAUACUUAUUUCAUAGAUUUCAGGUUAACUUGUUCAGAAAGGCCAUUUUACUGAAUAAAUUUUUAUUUAGAUGAAAAUCCUUACUCUCUUUGUAUUGGGCUGAGAGAGCAUACUGUCUCUAUAUGAAUAUGGACAGUUAGCAUUUGCCAACAUGUAUCUAUUUUCUCUUAUUUAUAGAAAAAGCUAAACUAAAAAGGGGGGUAUAGAAGUUCAGCAAAGGAUGGGUUUGAGAUGUUUGGGUUGGUUAAGUGGGCAUUUAGACAACAAGGCUUCUCCUUUGGCAUGUUUAAUGGACAUCUUUGCAGUUUAAGAUGAUGCUUUUAAAUUACUUCUCUCCUAAUGAUGACUUGAGUCCUGCUAUUCAAUGGGCGAGUCAAUAAGAUCCUGUAGGAUCUUAUUUGAAACUGACUUUGUCAAUUUUAAUUUUAUUCCUUCUUGUUUUUAAAUUUUCUUGUUUCCCUAGAAAGGAAAGAUGACACUUAGUUUUAAAUAUUUAAAAAUGUGCAAGUUGCUUUGCUAUAAUAAAACUAAAUGCAUACAUACAAAAAAUAAAAUUAUAGUUGAUGUGGUAGUGUUUGGAAUUCAAAAUAUAAAUGCUUAGCAUGAGGUAAUCCUUUAUCUUUCCACAUUUUACCAGUUUGUAAGUUUGAGUAUUUAACUGAUAAAAUGUAAUUCAAAAGCAAGAAGAAUGUUGUGUUUUAGUCCUAGAGCAGGGGUCUGUGAACUUUCUGUAAAGGGCCAGAUAGUAUUAUUUGAGGCUUUGUGAGCCAUAAGAUCCUUGUUGCAAUAACUCAGCCCUGCAGUUAUAGUACAAAAGUAGCCAUGAACAAUAUGCAGAUUGAAGGGGUGUAGCAGUGUCCCACUAAAAUUAAUUACAAAAAACAGGUAAUGGGAUGAUUUCUCCUAGAUUAUGACCUUUUUUAAAUAGAAAAGAUUGUGAUAGCCU
rnacentral:sRNA from 1 species